ensembl:lncRNA
UUUGUUGGCAGGGCAGGCCAAAAACCCACUUGGGCAAGAUUCAAACAAACAUCCAGGCCAGCAGCUUCAAGUGCUCUCAUUCACAAGCGAUCAGUCAGAAAUCUCUCUGCUGAGUUUGGUGGCACCGACAUCAAAGCUGUCCAUGUUGUUUGUUGUCACCUCCACUGUAGUGUCAGUGCCAGUGUACAGCAGAGGGGGACCUCAUCUCUGAACCAUGCUGGGUUAGGAGGUGGGAGCCAGCACUUUUCUUCCAGCAGAUUCCAUCCAACCUUGACCUCCACCAUCCAGAUCUGCAGCAGUGACUGCAGGGCAGGUAAAGGGAUCUGCAAAUGCUGUGUGCUGUCAUCUUUCCACUGGGUUGCAGCAGAGACCUCAGAGGCUCCAUGCUGGGUCCGCUUCCCCCGUGGUGGCAAAGUCCCUGGAAACGAGGAGGAAGUUGAACCUGGGCAUCACCUCUGCCCUGGAGGUAAAAGCAUGUCCUUGCUGAGAUGGCUUUUGUUGAUGGCUUUUGUUCUGGUUACUGUGGUGUUCAUGCUUUUUGGUGUCUUGUUCGACACAAGGACAGGGGGGCACUGGUGCCAGGAGAGCCAGAGGCAUCAUACCUCCCCCCAGCACUUCCUGGUGAGGAGAGCAGGGGAAGCCAUAGAAGCAAAGAAUCAUCAAGGUUGGAAAAUACCUUUAAGAUCAUCAAAUCCAACUAUCAAGUCCUUCAAGGUGUCUCCAGCCGUGGCUGAGAGGGGCCAGGAAAGUGUGCUAUUUGUAUACAUGCCAUGAAUGCAUCUUGGCACCACACUGAGAAGGAUUGACAGGAGCUGCAGAAAGGCUGAGUAAAAUUUUCCAAAAUACCUAAGUGAUGUGGAAGCCUCCUGUCCUAUUUUUAAAACGUGACUGAAGCACGUGAGACCCAAAGCCUUAAAGGUACCUCCACAGAUAGCCCUUUAGAGCUGGGCUCCUAAAAGAGCACCUCCAUCCCACUGCCCUGAUGAUCCAUCCUCCCCUGGGGUCCUACUCCCUCUCAGUCACAUCAUUUCAGACCUUCACGCCUGACAGGAGGUUGCCUCUUCUGCAAGUCCUGCAGGGACCUGCACAGACCUCUCUGUCCAUCCCACAGCAGAGAUCUUGCCUUCCAGUAGUCCCACCAGAGAUGCAAUGUGCUUGGGUUUUGCUCCAGCCAUGCUGCCCCUGUUUUUUUUUUUCACUUUAUUUCCUUUGCUUUUGCAGAAACCCCUGCUGGGUGGUAAUUCCUCUCCAGCCCAGCCAACUUCCAGCUGCACCCAACCCGCCCAGCUGCUGAGUGUGGGCACAUUGCUCACAGCAGAACUUAUAACUCCAUGACAGGAAGCAAGGUGACUUUAGCUGUGUCUUUUCCUGCUGGCCAGUGGGGUCUGUGAGCUCAAGCCCGGAUGGCUUGGCCCAAAAUAUCUCAGGCUGCUUCCUCAGCAAUGAAAUGUCUCCUAUUUAUUGCUGCUGAUUAUUGCUAAUGACAAAGGCAGGUGGCUGGGGAUAGCAAAAGGAGAAUGGCAAGGCUCGGAGAGAUGGGAGAAGAUAAAAAGGUCAAAAAGCAGUUAUUUUAGCUGCCGGCUUUGUGCAAUUUUGGAAGCAGAGGACUGUUUGCAUUAGAUGUAGAAAGCACAGGUUUUAGCUGCAACAGCACACUCUUCCCACUCCGUGUUUUUGCAAAACUUUCUGCCUAUUUGUAGCACCUCCUGCUGUAUUGCUCACACCAGCCCUCCUCGCUCAAGAAAUAUACUGGAGCCAUACGUCGGAGCCGUAUGUCUCAUCGGCAUAGUGAGACUCAGAAUCUAUUGCCAGAGGCAGAAAUACUCUCAUGGAUGCAGCCAGUAGAAUAGGUGGAAAUCUUCCAAAUUUCUUUUUGCAGAGGGAACAUUUAUCCCCGUGAAAAAUGUGGAGGGACUGAAGGGAAGGCUUAAUAAUGACUUUUAUGACAUGUCCUUUCCCAUUUCUAACUUCUUUUAAUUGUCUUUUCUAUCUUACAAUGCCCUUGUGGAGCCCCUACUCACUCACUGAUGUCAAGGCAGGAACAGUGAGGAAAGAAAUAUUGUCACCCAAGCUGCGGUGCUGAAAGCUCCUUCUUGUCAGCACUGAUACAAAUAACUAUAUAGAUACCAGGACGUGCUCCUAAAGUUUCUGUCGUUGCGCAAGGGCCCUUCUGGCCUCUCAGCUGCCGCCGCAGUGCAGUGCUCCUGACAUUCCCACGUUUCUCCUGAGAAAAUCCUUUCCCCGUGGAAAGGAGAUGGCAUGGAGGGUGCUGCCUUUCACAACGGUGAGGAUGCAGCGAGAGGCAGGCAGGAGAAGAUGAGCGUUCGCAGAACACCAGCAAAAGGCAGGCCGGGUGCUGGGAGCCUGGACACUUCAGCAGGAGUGCCCUCCAAACACCAUCUCUACAGUGCGAAUCCACCUAACUUUUAAAUGCCAGAAUGUCUAUUUUUCUCUACUUUGAAGUUGCUGGUAGAGCCAUCAGUGAUUUGAGCUUGUUUCUCUGCCUCCUGCUGGACCCUGGGGACCACCACACACCCUCCAGGUGCCAUCAGUCACAUCCCUUCUGGUGUGAUGCAGCACUGGCCCUCACACCAGGGAGCUGUGGAAGCCACGGCUGCUCAGAUGAAGGCCUCUGAUAAUUGCCCACUUCCCUGCUGCAUGGACCAGAUAGCUGCGAGCCAAGGCUGUUACUCAGCGUAUCAUCAGGUGUGUGGCUGUGUCCUGAGCACUCCCAAUUGGCAGGGAGAUGACUAUUGGAAGGAAGCUGAAGCCAAAAGGGCUGUGGAAUCUGGCCAAAUCUGCUGGCGAUUUUAAAGCCGAUUCCGCUGUUCCUCCCAUGGAGCAAAACAACCAUAUUUUUCAUUUUGCAAAGGACAAAGCUCAACAGGGCUUUUUUUUUUUUUUUUUUUUUUUUUUGGUUUUUUUUUUUUCCCCCCCCCCCCCCCCCCCCCCCCCCCCCCCCCCCCCCCCCCCCCCCCCCCCCCCCCCCCCCCCCCCCCCCCCCCCCCCCCCCCCCCCCCCCCCCCCCCCCCCCCCCC